GGGGUCUCCUCCCAUAGCGCGCACACGCCGCCGCGGCAGGAGCGGCCGAGCCGCGGCCGCCUCAUCCUCCUCCUCCUCCUCUUCCUUCUCCUCUUCCUUCUCCUCCUCCUGCUCCCUUCAAAGCGAGCCGCCGCCGCCGUUACUACCUGCGAGCGCGCGCGGCGCUGCUCGCCCGCCGUGAGGCUGUUGGAGGGGCGGCGGAGGCGGCCUGUCCGCCCAGCCUGGGCUUUGGGGCCUUUCAGGACACCCCCUUCCCGCUUUUAUUUAUUUAUUUAUUUUAUUUAUUUAUCAAUCAAGAGCUGGCGUUUUCCUCUCUUGAGCCAUGUCCUCGCCAGGCCCUGGCUGAGGGGUGCCAAGCGGCCGGUACCGGUGCUGGGCUCAGCUCCGGCUUCGGGCGCUUCCUUCCUAUCCCACUUUCCUGAAAAUAACCGUUUGGGCUGCUGCGGUAUCGUAUGAAAAUAACGCAGAAGCCAGUUGAGCGGCUAGUGUUUAACCCAGAGAACCGUAUCUAUGUGUGUACUGACAGAUCUACAUGCUGAUAGCCAUUGGAGUUUUCCUGUAACUGAGGAGAAAGAGCUGAGGUCAAACACCUCAGUAUUUAUUAAGUCAAAAUAUAACUUGAAGGACUUAAAGAAGCCGACAACACUCCAUAUAUGCCAACAGUUCAUCAAUUAUCUAUGAAAGAAACCCCUCCUGUGAGCCACACUACGUGAAAUAUGAACCUGGCAAUGGAAGAAACCUUUAGCCAAUUUUAUCUGAACACAGAGUACGCUUAAAAUUUGUGGACUUACUUUUGUUGCCUGUUGAAUUAUGCUGUCCCAUACUUGAUUAGGGAGCAACAUAUAUUUUUCUAUCAGAUGCUCCUGUACGGUCUGGUCUGUCUGUGCCCCAAUCAUGUAUCCUACUGCUUCAUAGAACGUAUGUACCUAAUUGGAACAAGAAGUCAAACAGGUUAAAAAGGGAUAAGGAAAAAGAGUUCAGUGUUUUAAAACCAACACAUAGUGAAGACUGAAAAUAGUUUCACUGUCCAUGUAUCUUUUUCUCCCCACUUAACUUUAUAAAGUCUUUCAGUUCUUUUCUUACUUCCAUUAUGUACAAAACAAGACUCAAUCCCCUUCCCUUCAAACUCACUAUAUCCUAUCCUAGCGUCUUUCUUCACUUUGCGUCCUACAAAAGAAAGCACCAUAUCCCUAAGUGAGGUAACUCAGGUAUAUGCCAUUUAAUUUUUCCUACGAUACAGCUCCACUUAGUUCUUUUUCAGAACUUUAGGCUGACUUAAGACCUACACACAAGUUGCAACUGAAUAUUACAAAGGGCAUUUCAACUGUAGACUGGAUACCAUCACUCUUAAGUAUCUUUUUCCAGAUACCAGACCCACUCUGUCCAAAGUUUUAUUGUAACACAUGAUCAGUGCAUGACCUAGGUGCAUGCUACUCACUUUAUGAGCUGUAGCCCUCCUUAGAGAUGGGCCCUUUGCUUUUUUUUUCUUGGAUCUACAUGAGCUAUAUGCCAUUAUAGUAGGAUACGCUUCUACCCCAGAUAAGAACCAUCAAGUUAUAUUCAGUAUCUUAAAUGAUUUUGUUGUAAAAAAUUUAUUUCAGAAGUCAGAACUCCAACUAAACUCGCUUUCUCCUUGGAAGUAUGUCAAUUAAGAUCUCUGUAAUGCAACUUGAUCAUGCUAUUUGUGCCAUAACACUAUCAAAAAUAAAGAAUACAAUUCAAGUCUUAAACCACUGCCAGUAACACUCCAUUACAGAGUAUCUUUAUGGUCUUCAGGAACUACUACAUAUUACCCACAUCCCUGAAUUAAACAUACCUGUUGUGGCUGAAGAUCACAGAUGAUUGUAUUAAUAUUGUUUAAGAUUUCAUCAAUAAACGGCAUGACCUCUCCCACUUGAACCUGAACAAAAUGUCGGCGGCAUUUCUGUGCUAUUUUUAUGAAGGUAUCGCAAGCCAUAUCCUGAACACCAUCAUGGGUUUCUAAAU